UGUGUGUUCCAGGUAAAUCCGGUUCACUUUAACACUGAGGCGUGACGACGAGGCACUACGGUGCUGAAGCAACAAAUGCCCUGCUUCCAGGAAAAGCCUCUAAGCAUCAGGUAACAUCAAAUCGUACCCCAAACCGACACAGGUGGUCAGGUAGAGAAUACCAAGGCGCUUGAGAGAACUCGGGUGAAGGAACUAGGCAAAAUGGUGCCGUAACUUCGGGAGAAGGCACGCUGACACGUAGGUGAAGUGAUUUACUCAUGGAGCUGAAGUCAGUCGAAGAUACCAGCUGGCUGCAACUGUUUAUUAAAAACACAGCACUGUGCAAACACGAAAGUGGACGUAUACGGUGUGACGCCUGCCCGGUGCCGGAAGGUUAAUUGAUGGGGUCAGCGCAAGCGAAGCUCCUGAUCGAAGCCCCGGUAAACGGCGGCCGUAACUAUAACGGUCCUAAGGUAGCGAAAUUCCUUGUCGGGUAAGUUCCGACCUGCACGAAUGGCGUAAUGAUGGCCAGGCUGUCUCCACCCGAGACUCAGUGAAAUUGAACUCGCUGUGAAGAUGCAGUGUACCCGCGGCAAGACGGAAAGACCCCGUGAACCUUUACUAUAGCUUGACACUGAACAUUGAGCCUUGAUGUGUAGGAUAGGUGGGAGGCUUUGAAGUGUGGACGCCAGUCUGCAUGGAGCCGACCUUGAAAUACCACCCUUUAAUGUUUGAUGUUCUAACGUGGACCCGUAAUCCGGGUUGCGGACAGUGUCUGGUGGGUAGUUUGACUGGGGCGGUCUCCUCCUAAAGAGUAACGGAGGAGCACGAAGGUUGGCUAAUCCUGGUCGGACAUCAGGAGGUUAGUGCAAUGGCAUAAGCCAGCUUGACUGCGAGCGUGACGGCGCGAGCAGGUGCGAAAGCAGGUCAUAGUGAUCCGGUGGUUCUGAAUGGAAGGGCCAUCGCUCAACGGAUAAAAGGUACUCCGGGGAUAACAGGCUGAUACCGCCCAAGAGUUCAUAUCGACGGCGGUGUUUGGCACCUCGAUGUCGGCUCAUCACAUCCUGGGGCUGAAGUAGGUCCCAAGGGUAUGGCUGUUCGCCAUUUAAAGUGGUACGCGAGCUGGGUUUAGAACGUCGUGAGACAGUUCGGUCCCUAUCUGCCGUGGGCGCUGGAGAACUGAGGGGGGCUGCUCCUAGUACGAGAGGACCGGAGUGGACGCAUCACUGGUGUUCGGGUUGUCAUGCCAAUGGCACUGCCCGGUAGCUAAAUGCGGAAGAGAUAAGUGCUGAAAGCAUCUAAGCACGAAACUUGCCCCGA
rnacentral:rRNA from 1 species